rnacentral:snoRNA from 1 species
UCUAUCCCUAGAAGCAUUGCAGAUGUGGCUGCUGUGUCACAAGUGCAUCAAUACGUGGUAGAGAGGACAGAGGCUAUGUCUAUGCUCGUUCUGACUAUGAAGAUUUGAGUAAUAAGUAGCUUAGCAUU